CAGAAAUAUAAAUUUAGAUCAGUGUUAGAGCUUCUUUCCUUUUGGCUCAGUGUUUACAGCUCGUUACACAUCCUUUUUUGUUUUUCCCUCUGAAAACUCAAACUGUGUUUGGAUGUCGAGGUGUGAUGCCCGUGGAGGUUCGGUGUUACAUGUGCUCUUACUGUACACACACACAGAGUCCUGAGCAGUUUCAUCGAUCGCUGUCCUGUGAGGACACCUGCUGGGCAGAUGUGUACCAGCACGUAGGACACGGGAAGCCAUCCGACACGCACAUCAUGUCUCAAACCAACCGAAGAGAAAGAGGAUCGAUACUUAUCGAUACUUAUUACAUGCGACAGAGAAAAAGAACCAAAACAGUAUUUUUGUGUGUAGACAGCACGGUUGGUGCCUCAUUUUGUCCCCGUGUUUUUACUUUUGAGACCUCAGAUAAAAGCAGCUCUGAAACAAACAGUUUCUUAUGCUAUUAUUUAUCCUGCAUCCUAUCGUUUGAACAUUUGAUAUUUAAUGCUGAGCAUUUAAACUGAGCAAACUUUAAAAUGAGAUGCCUGACCAUUACUCCUGAACCCCAGAAAGUUUACGCUCAUUUAAAGCCACCUGUUUCAUUUGCUGCAUGGUUUGAACUCCAGCAGGUGAAGGACAAUUUAAAAUGUUUUCUGGCGGUUUACCUCUUUCACCAAACUAAAAAAAAUUGAUAAAAGCAGCUAUUUAAGCAGUAAGACUUCGGACAGAUGAGAACAGGUCGACUUGGGCUGUAUUUCACAUUUAUCAAAGAAUUUAAAAUUGCUAAAAGAAUUAAAAAUAUAUUUUGGGGGCAAAAUAGUUAAACUCAAAGCUGUGAGCAAGUCUAGGCAUACCUGUAAAACUAUAAAAAAAGAACAGUUACUCAUAAGUUUACGUUAUAUGUGCAUUAUUGACACAGUAUUGUCACUUCAUUGUAAUCAUCAAUACGCGGUUAUCAUGAAACUCAUAACAGCCAAGAAACAAUCGAUUGGUCGACCCAGAGACUGCUGGCCUACAGCUGCAGGGCGCUGAGGUCUCCAACACAGAGAAUACACAAUUAAUUUAUAUGAACUUGUUUUUAUUUACAGCUACUGCAUUAUUAUUAUUAUUAUUUUAUUUUUUACACCUGCUUCUUAUUUUGUUCCCCUCAGAGAGUCGCGGUGCAUCUUGUGCAGCAACAGGAUAAAAAAUAAAAAUUCAAACUUGGAGUCAUAAAAAUGAGGAAAGUUUUUGAAAAUGUCUUAAAAAAAAAAAAAAAAAAAAAAAAAAAAAAAAAAAAAAAAUUAUAAAAUAUUUCAAGAUGAGGCGCAUGCUGGAGCUGAUGACUGACUGUUGAGCUUAAAGGGUUCAGUGAUUUUAAAAAAGAUUCUUGUUUUAAUUAAAGUGAGUAUUAUUAUCUAACAGGUUAGAGCUCAUGUCUGAUGCAAUAACAUGUUUUUUUUUAAUGUUAGAGUGACUUUUGAGGUGAUAAAUUUAAGGACAGGUGGACAAUAAUCACACACAAGAAACGUCUGAGGGACAAAAAAAAUCGUACCACUUCUCAGUAAAUGUAAGGAAAACGUCUCGCACGGUUUCAGUAGAGACAGUAGAGUAGAAUCAAAUUUCAACACAUCAUUCCAUUUUCAUGUACAGCGAGAACAACUAAUUCAAAUCUCACCCGUGUCCGUCUGUGUCGUGUUAGAGAUGCUCGUCCAUCCGUUUAACAUUUAAGAACCAGAACAUCUGCUGUUUCAGUUUGUCUUACACCUAUUUUGCAGCGCUGCGGUUCAGCUGCAGGUGGCGCUGUUUCACGUCUCAAACGACACUGGGAGGAUGAACUGCUGACACCAGUAUUUCUUGAUGGCUGGCUUUUUUUUCCCUUUUUGAUACCACAUAAAAAGAAAUCGGGAAGUUUUUGUUUAACAGGGGGAAAAGGUGCGUUUAUUGGGGACUAUUUUUCAUGGCGGAUUGGUCCACCUUUGUUAGGGGCAGCGCAGUGAUGCAUGUGGGAGUGGGUCUGUGUUCGUGGUAAUAAAGGAACAUGUCAGUAAUUUUUGGACAGCGGUGCAGUGCUGUUAGGAGGAAGUUUGUGGAUUUCUGGGUGUCGUACAAGUUUAAUAAACCUCGUAAUGAGGCACACAGGAAGCCUCCUAAUCAGACACCUGAUGCACUGAUAGAAAUACUGUAAUUUUUAUAAUGAAGCUGAAAGCUUUUUAAGGGGUUCAAAGGUCCAGAAAUUCUCACUUCUCAUUUUAGCCGCACAUAACCACAAAAACAAAGUGUUAGAACCACAAAUGUUUACCAGCCCUGCAGAUGGUGUCAGUAUUUCGUCCUCUGGCUUCAGGAUUUUACCACAUCGAGUUGUUUACCUCUGUGUGCCGCUUCAUAUGUGGCAUCAUUUCCAGACUGUGACUACAGACAAAGACUGAAUCUUUACGAGCUCCUUCAGGCAGAUGUAGGUUUUACCUUCUCCUUAUUUUAUUUUUUUUUAAAGAAAAAAAACACAAUCAGUAUUGUAUUUAUUUCCAAACAGUGUUUUUGAAUGAUUGAACGAUCGCACUGAUGAGAGGCAAC
ensembl:lncRNA